CCUACGGGUGGCAGCAGUGGGGAAUAUUGGACAAUGGGCAAAAGCCUGAUCCAGCCAUGCCGCGUGUGUGAAGAAGGCCUUCGGGUUGUAAAGCACUUUCAGUGGGGAAGAAAGCCUUGGGGCUAAUACCCUCGAGGAAGGACAUCACCCACAGAAGAAGCACCGGCUAACUCCGUGCCAGCAGCCGCGGUAAUACGGAGGGUGCGAGCGUUAAUCGGAAUUACUGGGCGUAAAGCGCGCGUAGGCGGUCUGAUAAGCCGGUUGUGAAAGCCCCGGGCUCAACCUGGGAACGGCAUCCGGAGGGGACGGGUUAGGGGCGGGAGGAGGAAGGGGGAUUUCCGGGUGUAGGGGGAAAAUGGGAAGAGUCCGGGAGGAAAACAGGUGGGGAGGGGGGCCUUCUGGACUGACACUGACGUUGGGGGGCGAAAGCGUGGGAAGCAAACGGGAUUAGAUACCGUGUAGUC
rnacentral:rRNA from 1 species